UACGUGUGUCGCAAGCGUUAUCCGGAUUUAUUGGGCAUAAAGGGCAUCUAGGCGGUUUAUUAAGUCUGAUGUGAAAAUGCGGGGCUCAACUCCGUAUGGCAUUGGAAACUGGUAGACUAGAGUAUCGGAGAGGUAGGCGGAACUACAAGUGUAGAGGUGAAAUUCGUAGAUAUUUGUAGGAAUGCCGAUAGGGAAGCCAGCUUACUGGACGAAUACUGACGCUGAAGUGCGAAAGCGUGGGGAGCAAACGGG
rnacentral:rRNA from 1 species